rnacentral:rRNA from 1 species
UACGGAGGGAGCUAGCGUUGUUCGGAAUUACUGGGCGUAAAGCGCACGUAGGCGGCUUUCUAAGUCGGGGGUGAAAUCCUGGAGCUCAACUCCAGAACUGCCUUCGAUACUGGAGAGCUUGAGUCCGGGAGAGGUGAGUGGAACUGCGAGUGUAGAGGUGAAAUUCGUAGAUAUUCGCAAGAACACCAGUGGCGAAGGCGGCUCACUGGCCCGGUACUGACGCUGAGGUGCGAAAGCGUGGGGAGCAAACAGG